rnacentral:rRNA from 1 species
UACAGAGGGUGCGAGCGUUGUCCGGAAUCACUGGGCGUAAAGGGCGCGUAGGUGGCGACCCAAGUCUGUGGUGAAAGCUCGCCGCUUAACGGCGAGUCGGCCACGGAUACUGGGUGGCUCGAGCACUGUAGGGGCAGAUGGAAUUCCGGGUGUAGCGGUGGAAUGCGUAGAGAUCCGGAAGAACACCGGUGGCGAAGGCGGGUCUCUGGGCCGAUACUGACGCUGAGGAGCGAAAGCGUGGGGAGCGAACAGG